rnacentral:rRNA from 1 species
UGGAUCCAGACUUUGAUCAUGGCUCAGGACGAACGCUGGCGGCGUGCCUAACACAUGCAAGUCGAACGGAGCCGGCCCCGCAAGGGACUGGCUUAGUGGCGAACGGGUGAGUAACGCGUGAAUAACCUGCCUUUCAGUGGGGGUCAACAGUUGGAAACGACUGCUAAUACCGCAUAAUGCUUUUAAGGGGCAUCCCUUAGGAGCCAAAGCUUAAUGUGCUGAAAGAUGGAUUCGCGUCUGAUUAGCUAGUUGGCGGGGUAAGGGCCCACCAAGGCGACGAUCAGUAGCCGGUCUGAGAGGAUGAACGGCCACAUUGGGACUGAGAUACGGCCCAGACUCCUACGGGAGGCAGCAGUGGGGAAUAUUGGGCAAUGGGGGAAACCCUGACCCAGCAACGCCGCGUGAGGGAAGAAGGCUUUCGGGUUGUAAACCUCUUUUACCAGGGACGAAGGACGUGACGGUACCUGGAGAAAAAGCAACGGCUAACUACGUGCCAGCAGCCGCGGUAAUACGUAGGUUGCAAGCGUUGUCCGGAUUUACUGGGUGUAAAGGGCGUGUAGGCGGAGGCGCGAGUUGGGAGUGAAAUCUAUGGGCUCAACCCAUAAACUGCUCUCAAAACUGUGCCCCUUGAGUAUCGGAGAGGCAAGCGGAAUUCCUAGUGUAGCGGUGAAAUGCGUAGAUAUUAGGAGGAACACCAGUGGCGAAGGCGGCUUGCUGGACGACAACUGACGCUGAGGCGCGAAAGCGUGGGGAGCAAACAGGAUUAGAUACCCUGGUAGUCCACGCUGUAAACGAUGAAUACUAGGUGUGGGGGGACUGACCCCCUCCGUGCCGCAGUUAACACAAUAAGUAUUCCACCUGGGGAGUACGACCGCAAGGUUGCAACUCAAAGGAAUUGACGGA